CCUCGUUGUCCAGAGCAGCUCUUUGGCUUGCUCGCUGCAGGAGGACCCUCGUGACUGAGGCGUUCUCAGCAGACGGCCUGCACCCCGAGAGGAGCCUUGGUUUUUCCCCCGGGUGGCAUUCAGUGUGCAAACCCGCACAGCACUGCUAGAAUGAUCGGGCAAGUCUGUGCCGCGGUUUGCACGGUUUUUUCUGUGGCGUAUUCCGGCUACUUCCUGACCCACCUGACUCGUCACCUCACACGCGGAUGGAGACACGCCCGUCCUUUGGGCUCACCAGCAGGGUCAGCACCUCCUCUGGCUCCCUCUCUUGCUGAGGAAGAGGCUGAAGAGGAGCCAAAUGACAAGAAGCCUCCAUCUGUUGU